GUGGCUGGCGAGCUAACGUUAAGUCAUCUCAGGCUAGAAUUCUAUCAUGUUUCCCGGGUUAGUUUUGCUCCCUACUGAAGAUAGACAGGGGUGGUGCCUUGAUGGGGUUAUUUCAUAUAAAUCACAAUUGAAUGUUCAUAGAAGUGCCAAGGUCAGGAUGACUUCAUGUAUUUAACUGCUAAGAUAAGCUAGCAGCUAACGUUAGCCCCAUACAAACCCUGCCUGGGUUUAGCUUCUAUGUAAAUACUAAUAGUUGGAUCAGUAUCUGAAAAAUGUAAUGUUUAAACGUAGGUGCACCCCACUCAGUUUGACCAAAUUAUCCUUCUGUGUCAUGAACAAUUAGCUAGGGUUGAUGCAGACUCUAAAGUCCGUCAAGAAACAUUUGAAUCUUUUUAAUGUUCGUGUAGCAAACUCUGCCAUCUUGCCUAGUCUCUCUGUAACAUUAGCCAUGUGUAGCUGCAAUCUUUAAAGGACAGCAGUUGCAGGAACAUCAGACUUGUCAUUAUUUUUGUAUUGCUAUCAUAGGCUACUUGGCUCUCAUCCGGCUUAUAUAUCAGUUAAAAGAGCAAAGCAAAUGGCAGUUUCUUGCAUGGAAACUUGCCCAUUUUAAGCACACACAUUUGUUGUCAACCACUAUAUUCAGGAGGUAAAUAAUUUUAAAUUUUACAUGCUAGAGGCUGCCUACUCUUCAAUGUUUGAAUGAUUUGUUAAUCACAAACAAGUAAUUAAUUAAAUCACAAACAAGCCAAUCUAAUUAAAGGUUUUCUUCCUAGUUCAAUUCUAUUAAAAUUCUGAAUUGAUUCUGUGAUCCAAUAUUAUUAUAGUUUUACACAUUUUAGUGUAAAUUUGUUGAGUUUGAUAUACUUUCUCAUCUCCCCACAGGCCUUUAUGUGGCAGUGCAAAUGUGGAGCGCAAGACCGAGUGUCAUCAAGGUCUCAUUUAUUGAAGUAUUACAGAAUGUCAGAACUCGACAUCAUCUGCACAAGGCUGUCUGCUGUGUGUGCGUAGGAAGGGAGGAGAUCAUGGCUGCCAUUGACCAGAAUUAUACCAUUGGCUUGUUGAGAGCUUGCAACCUGAAAGCACUUGUGUACUUAAAUGAAGGCUCUGAGAAACUCAUAAAGGAAUACCUGGACGCGGACUGAUGCCCAAAGCCAGAUGAAGAAAACCACCAUCGGGAUCUUUGUAAUCAAACAUGAGGGUGCCAAUGCCUCCACUAGAAGAUGUAGACAUUAUAGUUGAAUCACUAACAAUGUAACAAAACUAAACAUGCUGUGUUUAGCAGAGAUAUUUUUCUGUUCAUUGCAUUUCUAUUUUACUAAAAAAUGUCCCUGAUGGAUUGAUGAGAAUGGAGACAAAGGUUGCUGCUAAAUAAAUGCAGAUUUGUUUUGAA